UACGAAGGGGGCUAGCGUUGCUCGGAAUCACUGGGCGUAAAGCGCACGUAGGCGGAUUGUUAAGUCAGGGGUGAAAUCCUGGAGCUCAACUCCAGAACUGCCUUUGAUACUGGCGAUCUCGAGUCCGGGAGAGGUGAGUGGAACUGCGAGUGUAGAGGUGAAAUUCGUAGAUAUUCGCAAGAACACCAGUGGCGAAGGCGGCUCACUGGCCCGAUACUGACGCUGAUGCACGAAAGCGUGGGAGCAAACAGG
rnacentral:rRNA from 1 species